rnacentral:lncRNA from 1 species
AAGAAACCUAAAAUAGAGAGCUCUUACUAACUCAGAGUUAAAAGUCAUUAAACAUUUCACUCGUACUUACAUUUUUGUUUGCCGGACAGAGCGCGGACUAUCCGCAGUUGAUUGACUCGAGACCGAGUCGAGUGGCAUAGAUGGCUAAGGUAAAGUAACCUUAGGAAAGAAUCGCCAGUGAGCAUUAUAAGACAAAGAGUAAAGAAUAAAGAAUAGCUAAUGAACGUGAAUAGCUAAUAAAGAAAAGAACGACUACAAGUAAAGAAUGGUUAAUGAUAUAAAGUAGAAUCAAGUAUCUACUUGCAUGAUUUACAGGUAUUGCAUAUUGCAUAGCAUUGUUAUAGUUGCGAGGCAAGGGAUGUUUUUAUUAGUUGCAUAAACUAGAUAUAUAUAUCUAUCUGUUUAUUGAGCUAACUUGCAGUUGCCUCCUUUAACCUGUCGUCGAGCAUUUCCCUUGGGUGGCCGUACCCACUGGGAACCAUGGAGUUGGUUCUCACCCUACGUUGUUUUAGGGUGUUACAGUUCGUACGUGAGCGGCGCGGCGGCGCGAGAAAAGGCGUAGCUCGUAGAUAGCGCCCUACCCCCGGAGACCAGAGCUAGCAGUACCGUCUACAAGAUCUUAGGGUAAAGGAAAUGAAAAGAAAGUAAAUGUAUCAAAUUGUAAUAAGUAAACGAUGUACUACUUAGAUUGUAUUUGGAAGUUAAAGCAAUGAGAAUUGAGAUGUAAAAUGCAUGAAUGUGAAUGAAUGUAAUAACUUAGGAUGUGUUUAUAUUGUUUUGGUACCUUCCAUUAUGCAAUCUGGAUUGAUAUCAGUUCCUGGUUGAAACCCUCGUAUUGUAUUGAUUGCGUUGCCUUGAACGUACAGGGGAGACUCUGUCCGUAGUACAGGGGAAACCCUGUCCGUUCGGCACUAGCGGCGCCGCGACCUCGCAAAAUAGGCGGGGGUCGCGGGCUGUGCAAAAUUGAGCCAAAUCAAUCGCUUGAAAGCUGAAGUAGGAGAAGUAGUUGAUAAGGAGAGAUAUCAAAGUUGGUUGAAAAUUGAUUUAUCUGUCCACACUCGGCCCAGACAUAGCAUAUGUUGUAAGCGUAGUGAGUCAGUAUAUGCAUGAUUCUAGAAAAUCACACUUGGAAGUAGUUUAUUGUAUUUUGAGGUACCUAAAAUCAGCUCCAGGAAGAGGGCUUCUAUUUCUAAACCAUGGUAACCUGAAGAUUGAGGCAUUCACUGAUGCAGAUUGGGCUGGCUCUCUAGAUGAUCGGAGAUUCUACAUCGGGUUUUUGCACACUUGUAGAAGGUAACUAAGUCACCUGGAGAGCAAGAAGCAAACAGUUGUUGCCAGAUCAAGUGCAGAGGCAAAAUAUAGAGCAAUUGGCACAAGGCACUUGCGAGUUGCUUUGGAUUAAAAAAUUUAUGUGGGAGUUCGGACUACAGAAUAUACACCACUAAUGUUGUAUUGUGACAACAAGGCAGCUAUUAACAUUGCACAUAAUCCAGUACAACAUGACAGGACAAAACAUGUUGAAGUUCAGAAGUUGAUAGAAAUUUUAUUAAAGAAAAGCUGGACAAAGGGGUCAUCUGCAUUCCAUUUGUUAAGUCACAGAACCAACUAGCAGAUAUUUUAACUAAAGGAUUGCGGGAGUAUGUCACUCAAUUCUAUUGUAUACAAGAUGGGCAUAAGAAAUAUCUAUGCACCAUCUUGAGGGGGCGAGUGUUAACUAGUAUAAUAAUUUUUUUCUUUUCAGGGUUUUUUAUGUAAAAUGUCAUAAUAUAUGUAUUGGUUUUAGGGUUAUGGAAAUUAAGCCCUAAUACCUUUUUCUUCAUUUCUCUGUUUACCAACAGUUCACUAAAAUAACUAGGCUGAACUAGUUGUAUCCUUAUUAGGAGCAAGUAGAAGGCAAGGAUAACUUUUAACUUUUCUCUUCAUUAAUAAAUAACCAAGUAUCCAUGUUUCUGCAGAAGAUCUAUUUUCUUCAAAACUGUGACAAAAGAAACUAAAAUAGAGAGCUCUUACUAACUCAGAGUUAAAAGUCAUUAAACAUUUCACUCGUACUUACAUUUGUUUGCCGGACAGAGCGCGGACUAUCCGCAGUUGAUUGACUCGAGACGAGUCGAGUGGCAUAGAUGGCUAAGGUAAAGUAACCUUAGGAAAGAAUCGCAGUGAGCCAUUUAAACAAAGAGUAAAGAAAAAGAAUAGCUAAUGAACCGUGAAUAGCUAAUAAAGAAAAGAACGACUACAAGUAAAGAAUGGUUAAUGAUAUAAAGUAGAAUCAAGUAAUCUACUUGCAUGAUUUACAGGUAUUGCAUAUUGCAUAGCAUUGUUAUAGUUGCGAGGCAAAGGAUGUUUUUAUUAGUUGCAUAAAUAGAUAUAUAUAUCUAUCUGUUUAUUGAGCUAAUUGCAGUUGCCUCCUUUAAACCUGUCGGUCGAGCAUUUCCCUUGGGUGGCCGUACCCACUGGGAACCAUGGAGUUGGUUCUCACC